rnacentral:rRNA from 1 species
UACGAAGGGGGCUAGCGUUGCUCGGAAUGACUGGGCGUAAAGCGUGCGCAGGCGGUUUUGUAAGACUGUCGUGAAAUCCCCGGGCUUAACCUGGGAAUGGCGAUGGUGACUGCAAGGCUAGAGUUUGGCAGAGGGGGGUAGAAUUCCACGUGUAGCAGUGAAAUGCGUAGAUAUGUGGAGGAACACCGAUGGCGAAGGCAGCCCCCUGGGUCAAAACUGACGCUCAUGCACGAAAGCGUGGGGAGCAAACAGG